CUCUCUUCUUUGGCGGAACAAGGGACCCGUGACCCCCUUUCUUCUUUUUCUUCCCUCCUCGGUCGAGUCCAAGGGCGGCCGCGGUGGCCAGCCCCAUCGACGGCAAAAGGUAGGCUCAGCCAACUUCAGCUGCCGACAACGGUGAACGUGAGCCGACGGUGGUGAACACGAGCCGAUGGCGAAGAAACAGAGCGUCCUAUCCCGAAUCCAAACUCCAGCGAUUGGCCAGCUCAAACAUAUGAAGAAUCACAUCCAAGUGCCAAGAGAUGAAGAGAAGAGGAGUAUGAACUCUUACCUCAGUUCCAGUGAGGAUCCAGUGGCUUUCUUUCUCACCGGCGGCAAUGGAAGGAGAGGACCACCCGGAUCAAAGAAGAUCGGCUUCAAUGGCUCCCUCUCUCUCUCUCUCGGGUGGCUGCACUUCUUCGGAUGGCCUCACAAGAGGAGGAAGACGCCCUAGAAAAACUAGGGAAUCCUUCUUCUACGGGAUGGCUCCCUUCAUCCCGUGCCCUCACGUGCGACGCAUGUGAGGCAGUUCCAGGGUCUCACAUCCUUCCCCCCUUAAAAGAAAUUUCGUACACGAAAUUUUCGUACAUGCAGUUCAAGAAUAGAGAAUACUUCUUCCAAAUCAAGUCAUAACACUCUUCAAAUCAAAGUCGUCUUGUCUGACCAGUGCCAAAUAACACUCUUUCUCUGCACACUCUGAUUUAAACCUCAACAUACCCGUGUCAAAUCUAGAUUUUUUUUUUAGAAUUUCUUGCUUGUUGGUACAUUCAUUAUUAUGUCUUAAUCCGUAUGAACACUUUCAAAAUUCAAAAGCUCAUAUUCUUCUUUUGACAAUUAAUCAAAAAAAAUAUUAUGUAACUAUUUAUUUUUUUCUAGCAGCACAAUAAGUUGUCUAACAAAGAGCAGUGGGCAUGGCUAGAUAAUAAAUAGAAAUAAAUAUUGGGACUAGAUUAAUACAUGUCGUCAACACAUCAGAAGCCUGUGCAUCUUGCUGUGU
rnacentral:lncRNA from 1 species